AGGGUUUGAUCAUGGCUCAGAACGUACGCUGGCGGCACGCCUAACACAUGCAAGUCGAACGAAGUAGCAAUACUUAGUGGCAGACGGGUGAGUAACAUGUAGGUAUCUACCCUUUGGCCUGGAAUAACACGAGGAAACUUGUGCUAAUACCGGAUAAGUCUUUACGGAGAAAGCUUUAUGCACCAUUGGAUGAGCCUGCACUUGAUUAGUUUGUUGGUAGGGUAAUGGCCUACCAAGACUGUGAUCAAUAGCUGAUUUGAGAGGAUGAUCAGCCACAUUGGGACUGAGACACGGCCCAAACUCCUACGGGAGGCAGCAGUGGGGAAUCUUGCACAAUGGAGGAAACUCUGAUGCAGCGAUGCCGCGUGAGUGAAGAAGGCCCUUGGGUUGUAAAGCUCUUUCGUCGGGGAAGAAAAUGACUGUACCCGAAUAAGAAGGUCCGGCUAACUUCGUGCCAGCAGCCGCGGUAAUACGAAGGGACCUAGCGUAGUUCGGAAUUACUGGGCUUAAAGAGUUCGUAGGUGGUUGAAAAAGUUGGUGGUGAAAUCCCAGAGCUUAACUCUGGAACUGCCAUCAAAACUUUUCAGCUAGAGUUUGAUAGAGGAAAGCAGAAUUUCUAGUGUAGAGGUGAAAUUCGUAGAUAUUAGAAAGAAUACCAAUUGCGAAGGCAGCUUUCUGGAUCAUUACUGACACUGAGGAACGAAAGCAUGGGUAGCGAAGAGGAUUAGAUACCCUCGUAGUCCAUGCCGUAAACGAUGUGUGUUAGACGUUGGAAAUUUAUUUUCAGUGUCGCAGCGAAAGCGAUAAACACACCGCCUGGGGAGUACGACCGCAAGGUUAAAACUCAAAUGAAUUGACGGGGACCCGCACAAGUAGUGGAGCAUGUGGUUUAAUUCGAAGAUACGCGCAGAACCUUACCAACACUUGACAUGUUCGUCGCGACUCUAAGAGAUUAGAGUUUUCGGUUCGGCCGGACGAAACACAGGUGCUGCAUGGCUGUCGUCAGCUCGUGUCGUGAGAUGUUGGGUUAAGUCCCGCAACGAGCGCAACCCUCACUUUUAGUUGCCAUCAUUAAGUUGGGCACUCUGAAAGAACUGCCAGUGAUAAGCUGGAGGAAGGUGGGGAUGACGUCAAGUCCUCAUGGCCCUUACGUGUUGGGCUACACACGUGCUACAAUGGUAUCUACAACAGGAAGCAAAACAGCGAUGUUAAGCAAAUCCUUAAAAGAUACCUCAGUUCGGAUUGCACUCUGCAACUCGAGUGCAUGAAGCUGGAAUUACUAGUAAUCGUGGAUCAGCGUGCCACGGUGAAUGCGUUCCCGGGUCUUGUACACACCGCCCGUCACACCAUGGGAGUUGGUUCUACCUUAAGGCAAGGUUUUAAACCCUUGACCACGGUAUAGUCAGCGACUGGGGUGAAGUCGUAACAAGGUAGCCGUA
rnacentral:rRNA from 1 species